GAUGAACGCUGGCGGCGUGCCUAAUACAUGCAAGUCGAGCGAACAGACGAGGAGCUUGCUCCUCUGAUGUUAGCGGCGGACGGGUGAGUAACACGUGGAUAACCUACCUAUAAGACUGGGAUAACUUCGGGAAACCGGAGCUAAUACCGGAUAACAUGUUGAACCGCAUGGUUCAACAGUGAAAGACGGUUUUGCUGUCACUUAUAGAUGGAUCCGCGCCGCAUUAGCUAGUUGGUAAGGUAACGGCUUACCAAGGCAACGAUGCGUAGCCGACCUGAGAGGGUGAUCGGACACACUGGAACUGAGAAACGGUCCAGACUCCUACGGGAGGCAGCAGUAGGGAAUCUUCCGCAAUGGGCGAAAGCCUGACGGAGCAACGCCGCGUGAGUGAAGAAGGUCUUCGGAUCGUAAAACUCUGUUAUUAGGGAAGAACAAAUGUGUAAGUAACUAUGCACGUCUUGACGGUACCUAAUCAGAAAGCCACGGCUAACUACGUG
rnacentral:rRNA from 1 species